AGCCUGAACGCUGGCGGCGUGGCUAAGACAUGCAAGUCGAACGGGUGUAGCAAUACACCAGUGGCGGACGGGUGAGUAAUGUAUCGCUAACGUGCCCUGGAGCCAGGGAUAGCUGCCCGAAAGGGCAGGUAAUACCUGAUGAAAUAACCUUAUCGCAUGGUGAGGUUCUCAAAGCAGCAAUGCACUCCCGGAGCGGCG
rnacentral:rRNA from 1 species